AAUAAGCGGAGGAAAAGAAACUAACAAGGAUUCCCCUAGUAACGGCGAGUGAAGCGGGAUGAGCUCAAAUUUGUAAUCUGGCGGCCUCUGGUCGUCCGAGUUGUAGUCUGGAGAAGCGUUUUCCGCGUCGGACCGUGUACAAGUCCCUUGGAACAGGGCGUCGUAGAGGGUGAGAAUCCCGUCUUUGACACGGACUGCCGAUGCUUUGUGAUGCGCUCUCGAAGAGUCGAGUUGUUUGGGAAUGCAGCUCAAAACGGGUGGUAAAUUCCAUCUAAAGCUAAAUAUGGGCGAAAGACCGAUAGCGAACAAGUACCGUGAGGGAAAGAUGAAAAGCACUUUGGAAAGAGAGUUAAACAGUACGUGAAAUUGUUGAAAGGGAAACGCUUGAAGUCAGUCGCGUCUCCUGGGACUCAGCCUUGCUUCUGCUUGGUGUACUUCCUGGGACGACGGGCCAGCAUCGAUUUUGAUCGUCGGAGAAAGGCCUUGGGAACGUGGCACCUUUGGGUGUGUUAUAGCCCUUGGUCGUAUGCGACGGUUGGGAUUGAGGACCGCAGCACGCCUUUUUGGCCGGGGUUCGCCCACGUACGUGCUUAGGAUGCUGGCGUAAUGGCUUUAAGCGACCCGUCUUGAAACACGGACCAAGGAGUCUAACAUGCCUGCGAGUGUUUGGGUGGUAAACCCGGACGCGAAAUGAAAGUGAAAAGUUGGGACCUCUGUCGUGGAGGGCACCGACGCCCGGACCAGACCUUCUGUGACGGUUCCGAGGUAGAGCAUGCAUGCUGGGACCCGAAAGAUGGUGAACUAUGCUUGAGUAGGGUGAAGCCAGAGGAAACUCUGGUGGAGGCUCGUAGCGAUUCUGACGUGCAAAUCGAUCGUCGAACUUGAGUAUAGGGGCGAAAGACUAAUCGAACCAUCUAGUAGCUGGGUCCUG
rnacentral:rRNA from 1 species